CCUACGGGAGGCAGCAGUAAGGAAUCUUGCGCAAUGGGCGAAAGCCUGACGCAGCGACGCCGCGUGGGCGAUGAAGGCCUUCGGGUUGUAAAGCCCUUUUCUGGGGGACGAGGAAGGACGGUACCCCAGGAAUAAGUCACGGCUAACUACGUGCCAGCAGCCGCGGUAAUACGUAGGGGGCGAGCGUUGUCCGGAAUCACUGGGUGUAAAGGGUCCGCAGGCGGGUGGGUAAGUCGGUGGUGAAAUCUUUCCGCUAAACGGGAAAAUUGCCUCCGAGACUGCUCAUCUUGAGUACGGGAGAGGGUGAUGGAAUUCCUGGUGUAGCGGUAAAACGCGUAGAUAUCAGGAAGACCACCGGUUGCGAAGGCGGUCCCCUGGCCCGUUACUGACGCUCAGGGACGAAAGCGUGGGGAGCAAACAGGAUUAGAUACCCUAGUAGU
rnacentral:rRNA from 1 species